UGUACAAACCAUUGAGCCUGGGUUAUCACA
rnacentral:piRNA from 1 species